GUCUACGGCCAUGCCACUCUGAACAAGCCCAAUCCCGUCUGGUCUCGGAAGCUAAACAGGAUCGGGCCUGGUUAGUACUUGGACGGGAGACCACCUAGGAAGACCAGGUGCUGUAGGCA
rnacentral:rRNA from 1 species